rnacentral:rRNA from 1 species
CGUAGUGGCGCACGGGUGCGUAACGCGUGGGAAUCUGCCCCUCGGUUCGGAAUAACAGUUAGAAAUGACUGCUAAUACCGGAUAAUGACGAAAGUCCAAAGAUUUAUCGCCGAGGGAUGAGCCCGCGUAGGAUUAGCUAGUUGGUGGGGUAAAGGCCUACCAAGGCGACGAUCCUUAGCUGGUCUGAGAGGAUGAUCAGCCACACUGGGACUGAGACACGGCCCAG